rnacentral:tRNA from 1 species
GAUAGCGUCUAUCCUCUCGGAUAGCCUUCUAAGCUGUGGGUCUUGGGUUCGAAUCCCAACGGAAUCA